GACUAGGUGACCUCCUGAGGUCCCUUCCAGCCCUGAUAUUCCAUGCUUUGAAGGUAGAUAUACUGGCCACUAGAUUAGCAGUUUUCUGUUGUCUGACUGACCAGAGCAGGGGCUGCUCCAGGCUAAUGAUAACACCUGACUCCAAUUAACCUGCAAAGAGUCAGGUGAGGCCAUUAAGGUAAUGUGACCACCUAACUCUAAUUAAGGCCCUUCUGUUACUAUAAAAGGGCUCAGUCCAGUCAAGCUGAGGAGAGGAAGUACAGCUGAAGGGCUGGUUAAUGAAGACACACUCUCCCUCUUGGUAGGGGAGCACCAAGUUUGUUCACAUCAGUCUUAAAGUGUGGCCUCCAGAACUGGACAUAGUACUCCAGCUGAUGCUUCACCAGUGCUGAGUAGAAUGGGACAAUUACCUCCCCGGUCUUGCUGUGACAGAAUGCAGUGAGUUAACAGGCAUUUGACAUCUGAUCCUGCUUUCAUUGAAGUCAAUAGCAAAACUUCCACUGACUGAAUGGCAGCUGGACCCUGCUGUUAAACAGUUUGAGAAAUAUAACUAUGUUCCCAAGGACACAUGGGGGGGGGGGUGUAUGUAUAUUGGCAGAUACUGGGUAAAUCAAGACUGCUAUUGUUAUCUACUGUUCAGUGUGUAUUGUGUCCCUUUCUAGUGGCUGGUCCAAAGAUAUUCACUACAGCAAUCCUUUAAAUUGCUUACUCCAUUAGGAUGGAGGGUCAUACUUUUAGCAUAAGGUCACAAGUUCAAUCCCCAGUGAAGACCAGUGAGUGGUCAUUAAUGUUACAAUGCAUUGAAAUACUGUGAAGGAAAAUGCAAUGAUUUAGAUUAUCUGGAGGGGAUAAGGUAAAUUGUUUUAACUGAGGUUAUAUGGUGUCAUGAAAUACAGCCAGACAAAACUGAUGGCGUUUGGCAUUUUAUUUCACACUGAUCAAAUUUUUGAGGAAAAUGAAAAAAAAAUUAAAUAUUUCAGAUCUAUUUUUUUCCACUUAAACUCAAAUCUGAGCAUGUCCUAAAUGGGUUCUUCCCCCCUCAAGUUCACUGUGGUUCAUUUUGGGUGUAGCGGUAGCAGUCCUUCCCCAGCCAGCCAAGGAGAUAUUUCUGAACAUCUUCCUGAUCACAUGCAGGGCUUAGUUGGCUUUAUAAAAUAGUAGGGCUGGGCGCUUUGGAAUUUCUCUCUCCAAGCCCCCUGGGGUUUCCAUGCCCUUACCACCAUAUCAUCAUGGAGAGAAGCUCGGUGACUUCAACCAACAGAUCAGGAAGAAAGGAGUCAACAGCAGUGGUGGCUCAAGUCAAUGGUGAGGUCUGGGUGCUGGAGGUGUGUAUUGUUAGAUGGAGGUUACUGAGUAGGCUAGGGCCUUUUCUAUCCACAGCUGGGACAAGACUGAUGGAACUUACAUUCCACUCACAUGUGACUGGCAUGAGCUCUCGGUGUCCUACUGCAGGGUCCAGUUCAGGAGAAUGCUGGAGGGGUGGGCACAGACCACAAACAGGCCAGUGGGCAUUUAACACACUAUGAUUUCUGAGAUGCUGGGAACAUUGGCACUACCCUUAUCAAAAAUUUGUCAAAAUGGUGAAGUGCUGCUUUUCAGGUCCACUUUCACAGUAGCUUUCUUUGGGACUUUCUGGAUGUAGGAUCUUGGAUCAUGCUGGGUCCCUGUUACUAGUUAGCAAUGAACUUUUUUGUUUAGCUAUCUUAUUUUAAAUACUUUUCUGAAGAAUUUAACGCCAAACUUAAAUUCAGUAGUCUUCAUUAUCUGUGCAAGGGGUAAUUUAGUUGCUAACUAGAGUUUUUUUGGGAUGUGUUAAUUUUUUUCAAUAUUGAUAAGUAAGCAUUGUCGACAAUGCUUACUUAUCAAUAUUGUCCUAGAGUGCAAUGGCCCCCCAACUCUUCUCUGACAACCUUUUCUAGAUUAAUUUGUUUUCUGAUGCCCCAAAUGCAUAAUGAAGUUUAAUGGCGUCUUCCACUUCUAUUUUACAUCCUACUUGCACAGUAGUAAUUUACUCUAAGGGAAAACUGUUUCCAUAGCUAAUCCCCACAUUUUAUGAUACUGUAAAAUAUGUAGAUAAUUUCUAAUUUAAUUACCAAUAGGCACUCAGUGUUUCUUUUCACACUGCACAAUAUGAGAUGCUGAGAAUGCAUCUGGAAUAAUGAAUGUCAUUAUUAUUUUUCAGUGAAGACUUGUCCAAUUGUUUUUUAUCCUGUCUCCUCUAUGCAUGGCAUUUUAUCAGAUGUUGGGAUAUUUAAAACAGUGGUCCUGCAUAUAUAGAAUAACAAUUUCAAUGUCAUUAGUAUGGCUAUUCACGAUUUGUAUUCUUUUAAAACAUUGUGGCAUUUUGAUUUCUUAGAAACAGUUGGAAUUAGAGUACAGAGUAAAAAUCAAUUUCUAACUUUCUUUUUUAGCUGGAGGGAACAAAAUCCAAGAAAGUUUAGUGCAUAUUUUUGAAGUUUUCCCUCAAAGGCUUUCUUCACAUCGAAGAGAAAUAUGUAUGAAGAGAUAUAUUACCUACAGGCUUAUUAUAAAAUCCUGACUGUGCAGUAAAGAUGCAGCUGCUAGCAGUUCACCACCUAACUUUCCUUAAAUUCUAUUGGUGGAUCAUCUUAAAAGCCAAAGUUUUAGCAGCAGUUGUAAAAUUGCCUGCAUUUACAUGCCAGUCUUUUUUUUAAAAAAAAAUUUAAUUGCAUAAAGCAUAUAGUUUUAUUUAUGCAACUAUUGUUCCCCCCCUCUAAAAUUGCAUGAAAUUAGUCUGUGGUCUAUUAAGCAAGUUGUGCCUUGCUCUUGUGAUGCUAUCCACUCAUGUGGGCUCCUGUACCUGUGCAGAACCCCAUUCACUGCAGUAAGACUGCAUGUGGGUAAAUAGGUCUGCCCAUACAGUCCAAAUUGCAGGAUUAAAAUACAUAGGUCCUGAUUCAGCAAAGGAAUUUCAACAGAUGCUUAAGACCAUCCAUAUUCACCAUUCCCACUGACUGUAAUGAGAGUUGAGAACAUCCUUAUAUUUAAUCAUGUACUAAAGUGCUUGUUGAAUAAGGAUGGACUUAAGAAGAUCCUUAAAGUUAAGUGAACUUAAGUCCUUUUCUGAAUUAGAGCAUAACUUUUUAAAAUGAUUUUUAUAUCUUAUAACAUCCUUUUUGUUUGCCUCUAGUUUACAUUGAUAAAACCUUUAAUGUUUAAAGUUUCAAGAAAUGUUUCUUAAUGUCUCUGCCUGUAUUCCUCAUUUUAUUUAUUCUUUGGAAAAAUUAUUUAUGAUCAGAUGUAGUGAAAACUCAUGACAGAUUUCCCAACAAUUUCUCUUUUUAUGUGCUGAACUGACAGAAGGACUGUGCUGCUCACCCAGUUGAAAGUAAUUUGGAAACAUCUCAUUCUGUUACUUGCACUGGGUCUGAGUCUCUGACUGCAGUGGCAGCCCCUGCAAACAAUGAGCUGCAUGCCCAUUUUGUAUGAAUUGGGGAAAUGAAUUGCCUAGGGAUCAAAAACUUGGACAUAUUUUUUGUCUCAAGCAAUAAGUUUGGUUCCUGUACUAGACUUUGCUCAUUUAGUGCUGUCACACAGUAAAGCUAAAAUGUGACUGUAGUUAUAUGGUGAGUUUUCUCUCUCCUUUAUAUGUUGUAUAUACUAUGCAGGCAUACGUAAACAGGCUGCAGAGAGCUGCUGUGAUAUAGCCCCUCAUCCUAGACCUAAAGAGAAUCAUUUGAUGGGGGAAAGAGAAUAUUCUUAUUGUAUGUGGGCACUCAGUUUUUCAUCUUUUUUUUUUUUUUAAAGAAAUAACAGCCUAAUUAUCUUUGGAUUAAACACAUUCACUAUAGACCACAAUUUACUAGAAAAUCUACUCCCAACUUAAUUCCUGUGAUUAAUCCUUUAUGGGUUUUCUUUUGUUAGUCAAUACAACAGACUAAUGAUUAUUAAUACCUCCUGGGAGAGGGAGAUUAUAUAACUCUAGAGCUGCAUGACGGCCAUACACUAGAUGUUUGUUGGUCUGCCAUGCAGCUGGCAAAAAAAGACAUACUACUUGUUAGAGCUAUUAACUGAUUCUUUAAAAUAACAAUACAAAAGUAUUUAAUCCUUGUCCAGUUCUAUUGACAGAACCAGGUAGGUAUAGCAUACGACACACUACUUACUUUGGCCCUUAUACAAAUUCAGUUUCAAAUGUUAUCAUGUUUUCUGUUUUGAAUAUUAAUUUGCUAGACUGUGUUAUACUGAAGAGGAAUCACUUUUCUUAUUUUGGAAAUAAGUGAUACCUAGACAAGUCUACAGCAGUGCAGUACAUUGGGCAACAAACAUAUUUAUUAUAGUGGCACAGCAGCAUCAUUAAAAUUAAGGUUGCAUCAAGACAUCUAGUUAAAGGAUUACUUUUUUAAGUCCUCUAAAAUCAACAUGCUUAGUUGGAGUUCUUUGAAAUCUGGUAUGCAUCAGGAUGGUACAUUUA